rnacentral:rRNA from 1 species
GUGACCACAAAGUUUAACGGCCGCGGUAUCCUGACCGUGCGAAGGUAGCGUAAUCAUUUGUCUUUUAAAUAGAGACCUGUAUGAAUGGCAUAACGAGGGUUUAACUGUCUCCUUCCCCUAGUCAAUGAAAUUGAUCUGCCCGUGCAGAAGCGGACAUAAAUACAUAAGACGAGAAGACCCUAUGGAGCUUUAGACAAAAGAUCAAACAUGUAAAGAAACCAAGUUAACCAAAAGGAACACAAAGGCCACGAAACCCGACGUAAACUGAUCCAAAUGUCUUCGGUUGGGGCGACCAUGGGGGAGAAAAAAGCCCCCACGAGGAACAGGGACUAAUCCCUAAGCCAAGAGAGACAUCUCUAAGCAACAGAAAAUCUGACCAAAAGUGACCCAGAAUACUAAUUCUGAUCAACGAACCAAGUUACCCUAGGGAUAACAGCGCAAUCCUUUCCCAGAGUCCAUAUCGACGAAAGGGUUUACGACCUCGAUGUUGGAUCAGGACAUCCUAAUGGUGCAGCCGCU